GGGAGAGUAACCACUUUAGAAUGACAUCCUGGCGGGGCGUGUUCCAAAUAGAAUCAGCGGGUUAGAGAACACGACACUUGUGUUUGAAGCUGAGCGGUGCCUCCGGUUGUGCUGUGUGAAGCUCAGUACUUUGUGUUUCCGUCCGUGCCAUGUUAAGAUAGCUGUAACUUAACCCUGCUUGUUCAAACCCUGAAACCAAGUGGCUCUGGUGGCUCUGUACCCAGAGGAAGAUUCCGGAUGAAAGAGGAGGAGGAUAAUUUAAACUAGGAAAGAGGAACUUGAGUCUCAACUCUGGGCCGACAGAACAUACGUUAAUCUGAUCCAAAUUUAACGCAACCAACGUUAGAAACCCCCCGACAUCAAUACAGACAUGAGGCUUUCAUUUUUAAAAGCAAUUAUCCACCAAUUAGAAAACGAUUGGUGGCUUUUGUUUGUGGUUAAUUUCUGUUAGGGUUUGGUGGGAGCCAACAGUGGUGUUCAUGAGAGGUCUCCAUUACAGAUCAAUGGAGAGCUGAAAGGACAUACAGAACAGAGUGGAAAGGACUGGAAAGAAUAGAGGGACUCGUAAGGUCCUUGUGUUCUCAGCCUCAAGGCCCAUCGAACAGCCUGCUUGGCCAAUAUUACCUCUGCGGGUGGUCAUGGAACCCCUUCGACCUUCUCCCACAGAACUGAGGACCACCGCGGGUUCGACCACCUCUCUGACACCUGAAGCAAGCUCCAGCGCUGGAGGACUUUAUAGUCACAAGGCUGCAGUGAUGCUCAGCGGGACGUGAAAACGACCAGCCAUCGACCAGCAGACGCGUCGGGCCGCGGGGGAGAGUCUGACCUGCAGUGGCCUCACUGAGCGGUGUCCAUAUGAUCAUUUAGUGUCUGCGCGGAAACACCGGGAAGGAGCGGGUGCGAAGGGAGACUAACCAACUUGGGUCCAACACACCCCCUCAGGAUGUCCCGAGCUGACCUUCACAAGAUGGCUGAUCUCCUCAGACAUAUGUUGGGUCUUAACUGUGAUGAUUACCAGUUGGCCGGAGAUUAUUAGUAGUUAGUCGAAAAAAGUGGUUGGGAGGCUGGCUGAUCGAAUACUGAUUUUAAAUAAAGCUCAACAAAAUAUACAUGGAUAUGUUUCUCAAUCGAAAAGCCUAGUUAUAGGAACCAUGUUGUCUAGUGGCUAUGGUGUUCGACGUACGGAUGUUUGCAUAUGAGGUGGUCGCCAAAAACGUUUAGUGGUACACCUAAGGUCAAAGGUCGGGAAGCG